CCCAAGGAUGGGUCUGCGGCCUAUCAGGUAGUAGUGGGUGUAAUGUACCUACUAGCCGACAACGGGUACGGGUUGUGAGAGCAAGAGCCCGGAGAUGGAUUCUGAGACAUGAAUCCAGGCCCUACGGGGCGCAGCAGGCGCGAAAACUUUACAAUGCGGGAAACCGUGAUAAGGGGACACCGAGUGUCAGCAUCAUAUGCUGGCUGUCCAGGUGUGUAAAAUACACCUGUUAGCAAGAGCCGGGCAAGACCGGUGCCAGCCGCCGCGGUAACACCGGCGGCCCGAGUGGUGAUCGUGAUUAUUGGGUCUAAAGGGUCCGUAGCCGGUUUGGUCAGUCCUCCGGGAAAUCUGAUAGCUCAACUAUUAGGCUAUCGGGGGAUACUACCAGACUUGGAACCGGGAGAGGUAAGAGGUACUACAGGGGUAGGAGUGAAAUCUUGUAAUCCCUGUGGGACCACCUGUGGCGAAGGCGUCUUACCAGAACGGGUUCGACGGUGAGGGACGAAAGCUGGGGGCACGAACCGGAUUAGAUACCCGGGUAGUCCCAGCCGUAAACGAUGCUCGCUAGGUGUCAGGCAUGGCGCGACCGUGUCUGGUGCCGCAGGGAAGCCGUGAAGCGAGCCACCUGGGAAGUACGGCCGCAAGGCUGA
rnacentral:rRNA from 1 species